GGACGAACGCUGGCGGCGUGCUUAACACAUGCAAGUCGANCGGGGAUUAAGUUUGGAAGGUUUCGGCUGGAAGAGCUUAAUUCUAGCGGCGGACGGGUAAGUAACGCGUGAGCAAUCUGUCCCAUACAGGGGGAUAACAGAUGGAAACAUCUGCUAAUACCGCAUAAGACCACGAGGUCGCAUGGCCACGGGGUAAAAGAUUUAUCGGUAUGGGGUGAGCUCGCGUCUGAUUAGCUAGUUGGUGAGGUAACGGCCCACCAAGGCGACGAUCAGUAGCCGACCUGAGAGGGUGAUCGGCCACAUUGGAACUGAGACACGGUCCAGACUCCUACGGGAGGCAGCAGUGGGGAAUAUUGGGCAAUGGGCGCAAGCCUGACCCAGCAACGCCGCGUGAGGGAAGAAGGCUUUCGGGUUGUAAACCUCUGUCCUAAGUGACGAAAACGAUGACGGUAGCUUAGGAGGAAGCCCCGGCUAACUACGUG
rnacentral:rRNA from 1 species